CUGGCACUGCCAGUGGAGCGGGAAGUGAAAAGCUAUGCCCUGGCCGAUCAGUCCUCAAAGGAUCCCAGCUCUCAGAAUCUGAGGAAGAAGCUGCCUUCAGGGUGCUGCCCACAAAGGUCCAUCUAGUCAAAGCUAUGGUUCUUCCAUGUAUGGAUAUGAAAGUUGGACCAUAAAGAAGGCUGAACCCUGAAGAAUUGAUGCUUUCAAACUGUGGUUUUGGCGAAUACUCUUGAGAGUCCUUUGGACUGCAAGGAGAUCAAAUCAGUCAAUCCUAAAGGAAAUCAGCGGCUUCCCUGGUGGCUCAGGUGGUAAAGAGUCUGCCUGCAAUGUGGGAGACCUGGGUUCAAUCUCCAGGGAAGAUCCCCUGGAGAAGGAAAUGGCAACCCACUCCAGUAUUCUUGCUUGGAGAAUUCCGUGAACAGAGGAGCCUGGUUGGCUAGAGUCCACGGGUUCACAAAGAGUCGGACACAACUGAGUACUUUCAUUUUCACUUUCAAAGGAAAUCAAUCCUGAAUAUUCAUUGGAAGGACCGAUGCUGAAGCUGAAGCUCCAAUACUUUGGCGACCUGAUGUGAAGAGCUGACUCACUGGGAAAGAUCCUGAUGCUGGGAAAGAUUGAGGGCAGGAGGAGAAGGGGACAACAGGGGAUGAGAUGGUUGGAUGGCAUCACUGACUCAAUGGACAUGAGUCUGAGCAAACUCUGGGAGAUAGUGAAGGACAGGGAAACCUAGUGUGUUGCAAACCAUGGGUUGCAAAGAGUCAGACACAACGGAGCGACCGAACAACAGCAGUGUUUUUUGUAUAAUACAAUGUUGACAUGUUGGAAGGCCUCCCUUCAGGAAAUCACAAGCGGCAGUUUGAUCUUGAGCCGCCAGGUGGCACUAGUGCCCCGGCGCUGCCAGUAGGCAGGGCGCAAGGAUGCUUUGAGUCAGGCUUCGGUUCCCGGUCGGCUGCAGGCAGUGCCCUGGAAACCUGGAGCCUUUCCCUUUCACUCUCAGACCGAGCACCGGGGCUUAGAACAGAGAAAGUGGGAGACGUGGCAUGAUGCCACCAGACAAUGGCCUGAAGGAGAUAGCCAGAAAAUUGAUUAGCAUCAUUGGAACUCCCUUGGCAGCAACUUUGCAAAUUCUCUAAAGAUUCUGUGGAAGAACUGCCUUCCAGAAAUUAAAAAGACCAGAGCCCCAGUUGGAACCACCCAGCCCCCGGGCAGCCCCCGGGAGAUCUUCAGAACGUAAAGGUGGGGUCUUUCAUUGCAGGAGCUGAACUGAAGAAGGUGUUCCCUGGAGAACAGGUACAGUAGGCCUACUUUCCAUUUUUUUUCUUUGAAGUAAAAAAUGCCAAAUAGGACUCUUGCCACCUUGGUGUGGUCUGGUCCUUUAUGAUGACCUUGGGGUCCCAGGAGGACUCGCCACAGUUACUUUUGGUUCUGCAGUCUUGGGACCAUGGUCUCCUCCAUGACUCUCAGUGAACCUGUCCCAGCCAGUGGGACAAGCUCCCAGUUCUGUAGAAAGACCUGGCUUCUUUCUGCUAGAACUUCUUUCUAUGCAGACCAUCCGCAGCCCUUAAGGCUGCAGUCUGGAAGGUCUGGGACUGCCGUGGGUGGGUGGUCUGCCUUCAGGGAGUACUUGCUAGGGCCUGAGCUGCACAGUAAUCGGAGGCUUCCAGCAGCUGUGUGGUCAGUACUGUGUAUUCCUGGCCAGGUUACCUCAAAAGAAAUACUUCUUCUUGAAGCCCUGACAUUUCCCUCUUCCUACUGGCCAACAGGCCCACUGACUCACCUCCAUAGACUUCGGUACACUACUCACUGUAGAGCGAUGCAUUUCAUCCCACUCAGGGUUGCCUUCCCUGUAUUUUCCACACAACUGAGCAUCACAGACACUAAGGUUCCCCUAGUGUCUGAGGAGCUGAGGAUGCUUAAGACUGUGACACUCUUCUACUUGAUCCAUUUCCUUCCUCAAAACCUUAUCCCUGCCCUAAAUCACAGAUGGCUUCUAGCCAUUCAAGACCUUGAUGACAGGGCGAGAGAGGAAAUAAAGAAAGAAAAAGGACACGUUGGAGAAAUAUAUUCCCUAUACAUAAAAUAGAUAGAUAACUCAUUUCCACAGAAACUCUUACAAAUAAAUAGGAAAUAAGACUUCCUUGGUGGCUCAGAUGGUUAAGCGUCUGCCUACAAUGCGGGAGACCUGGGUUCAAUCCCUGGGUUGGGAAGCUCUCCUGGAGAAGGAAAUGGCAACCCACUCCAGUAUUCUUGCCCGGAAAAUCAAAUGGAUGGAGGAGCCUGGUAGGCUACAGUCCAUGGGGUCACAAAGAGUUGGACAAGACUGAGC
ensembl:lncRNA